rnacentral:rRNA from 1 species
AGAUUGAACGCUAGCGGGAUGCUUUACACAUGCAAGUCGAACGGCAGCGCGGACUUCGGUCUGGCGGCGAGUGGCGAACGGGUGAGUAAUAUAUCGGAACGUGCCCAGUAGCGGGGGAUAACUACGCGAAAGCGUGGCUAAUACCGCAUACGCCCUACGGGGGAAAGGGGGGAUUCUUCGGAACCUCUCACUAUUGGAGCGGCCGAUAUCAGAUUAGCUAGUUGGUGAGGUAAAGGCUCACCAAGGCGACGAUCUGUAGCUGGUUUGAGUAGGACGACCAGCCACACUGGGACUGAGACACGGCCCAGACUCCUACGGGAGCAGCAGUGGG